UACAGGGGGGGCAAGCGUUGUUCGGAAUUACUGGGCGUAAAGGGCUUGUAGGUGGCCAACUAAGUCACACGUGAAAUCCCCAGGCUUAACCUGGGAACUGCGUGUGAUACUGGAUGGCUUGAAUCCGGGAGAGGGAUGCGGAAUUCCAGGUGUAGCGGUGAAAUGCGUAGAUAUCUGGAGGAACACCGGAGGCGAAGGCGGCAUCCUGGACCAAUAUUGACGCUGAGGAGCGAAAGCCAGGGGAGCAAACGGG
rnacentral:rRNA from 1 species